UACGGAGGGUGCAAGCGUUAUCCGGAUUCACUGGGUUUAAAGGGUGCGUAGGUGGGUUGGUAAGUCAGUGGUGAAAUCUCCAGGCUUAACUUGGAAACUGCCAUUGAUACUAUCAAUCUUGAAUACCGUGGAGGUCAGCGGAAUAUGUCAUGUAGCGGUGAAAUGCUUAGAUAUGACAUAGAACACCAAUUGCGAAGGCAGCUGGCUACACGAAUAUUGACACUGAUGCACGAAAGCGUGGGGAUCAAAACAGG
rnacentral:rRNA from 1 species